UGGGGAAUUUUGCGCAAUGGGCGAAAGCCUGACGCAGCAAUACCGCGUGAGUGAAGAAGGCCUUUGGGUCGUAAAGCUCUUUUCUAGGGGAAGAUAGUGACGGUACCCUAGGAAUAAGCACCGGCUAACUCCGUGCCAGCAGCCGCGGUAAUACGGAGGGUGCAAGCGUUGUUCGGAUUUACUGGGCGUAAAGGGCACGUAGGCGGCAUAGCAAGUUAAGGGUGAAAUCCCGGGGCUCAACUCCGGAACUGCUCUUAAAACUGCUAAGCUAGAGAUGGUCAGAGGCGGGUGGAAUUCCAGGUGUAGAGGUGAAAUUCGUAGAUAUCUGGAGGAACACCGGUGGCGAAGGCGGCCCGCUGGGGCCAUUCUGACGCUGAGGUGCGAAAGCAUGGGGAGCGAACG
rnacentral:rRNA from 1 species